AAAGACUUAGUCCUAACCUUACCGUUAAUUAUUGCUAAACAUAUACAUGCAAGUAUCUGCGCCCCAGUGUGAAUGCCCUCAACACCUUGUCAAGGAACGAGGAGCGGGUAUCAGGCUCACCCAUGCAGAACGUAGCCCAAGACGCCUUGCUCAGCCACACCCCCACGGGUACUCAGCAGUAGUUAACAUUAAGCAAUAAGUGUAAACUUGACUUAGUUAUAGCAAUACCAAGGGUUGGUAAAUCUUGUGCCAGCCACCGCGGUCAUACAAGAGACCCAAAUUAACAGUAGCACGGCGUAAAGAGUGGCAUACAUGCUAUCCAGACAACUAAGAUCGAAAUGCAGCUGAGCUGUCAUAAGCCUAGGAUGCACCUAAGACCACCAUUAAGACGAUCUUAGCUCGCACGAUCAAUUGAACCCCACGAAAGCUAGGGCACAAACUGGGAUUAGAUACCCCACUAUGCCUAGCCCUAAAUCUUGGUACUUCCCCUACUUAAGUAUCCGCCUGAGAACUACGAGCACAAACGCUUAAAACUCUAAGGACUUGGCGGUGCCCCAAACCCACCUAGAGGAGCCUGUUCUAUAACCGAUAACCCACGAUACACCCAACCACCCCUUGCCAGAGCAGCCUACAUACCGCCGUCGCCAGCCCACCUUCCCUGAGAGCACAACAGUGGGCGCAAUAGUCUCACCCCCACUAGCACGACAGGUCAAGGUAUAGCCCAUGGGGUGGAAGAAAUGGGCUACAUUUUCUAACAUAGAAAAUUUACGGAAGGGGGCAUGAAACUACCCCCAGAAGGCGGAUUUAGCAGUAAAGAGAGACAAUGGAGCUCCCUUUAAAUUGGCCCUGAGGCACGUACAUACCGCCCGUCACCCUCCUCACAAGCUAUAGACCCCCACUAACUAAUCAACCAAACAGCCGAAGAGGAGGUAAGUCGUAACAAGGUAAGUGUACCGGAAGGUGCACUUAGUACAC
rnacentral:ncRNA from 1 species